AAGGCUUGGUCCUGACUUUACUAUCAGCUCUAACUGAACUUACACAUGCAAGUCUCCGCAUUCCUGUGAGGAUGCCCUUAAUCCCCUGCCCGGGGA
rnacentral:rRNA from 2 species